rnacentral:miRNA from 1 species
GUGUGUGUGUGUGUGUGUGUGUGUGUGUGUGUGUGUGUAAAAUGCUACACACACACACACACACACACACACACACAU